UACAGAGGUCUCAAGCGUUGUUCGGAUUCAUUGGGCGUAAAGGGUGCGUAGGUGGCGCUGUAAGUCGGGUGUGAAAUUUCGGAGCUUAACUCCGAAACUGCAUCGAUACUGCGGUGCUUGAGGACUGGAGAGGAGACUGGAAUUCAUGGUGUAGCAGUGAAAUGCGUAGAGAUCAUGAGGAAGACCAGUGGCGAAGGCGGGUCUCUGGACAGUUCCUGGACACUGAGGCACGAAGGCCAGGGGAGCAAACGGG
rnacentral:rRNA from 1 species